AGAGUUUGAUCCUGGCUCAGGACGAACGCUGGCGGCGUGCUUAACACAUGCAAGUCGAACGAGAAUCUACUGAAAGAGUUUUCGGACAAUGGAUGUAGAGGAAAGUGGCGGACGGGUGAGUAACGCGUGAGGAACCUGCCUUGAAGAGGGGGACAACAGUUGGAAACGACUGCUAAUACCGCAUGACGCAUAGAGGUCGCAUGAUCUUUAUGCCAAAGAUUUAUCGCUUCAAGAUGGCCUCGCGUCUGAUUAGCUGGUUGGCGGGGUAACGGCCCACCAAGGCGACGAUCAGUAGCCGGACUGAGAGGUUGAACGGCCACAUUGGGACUGAGAUACGGCCCAGACUCCUACGGGAGGCAGCAGUGGGGAAUAUUGGGCAAUGGGCGCAAGCCUGACCCAGCAACGCCGCGUGAAGGAAGAAGGCUUUCGGGUUGUAAACUUCUUUUAAGAGGGAAGAGCAGAAGACGGUACCUCUAGAAUAAGCCACGGCUAACUACGUGCCAGCAGCCGCGGUAAUACGUAGGUGGCAAGCGUUGUCCGGAAUUAUUGGGCGUAAAGCGCGCGCAGGCGGCUUCCCAAGUCCCUCUUAAAAGUGCGGGGCUUAACCCCGUGAUGGGAAGGAAACUGGGAAGCUGGAGUAUCGGAGAGGAAAGUGGAAUUCCUAGUGUAGCGGUGAAAUGCGUAGAGAUUAGGAAGAACACCGGUGGCGAAGGCGACUUUCUGGACGAAAACUGACGCUGAGGCGCGAAAGCGUGGGGAGCAAACAGGAUUAGAUACCCUGGUAGUCCACGCCGUAAACG
rnacentral:rRNA from 1 species